rnacentral:rRNA from 1 species
AGGGCUUCACACGUCAUACAAUGGUCGGUACAGAGGGUUGCCAAGCCGCGAGGUGGAGCCAAUCCCUUAAAGCCGAUCGUAGUCCGGAUCGUAGUCUGCAACUCGACUACGUGAAGUCGGAAUCGCUAGUAAUCGCAGAUCAGCAUGCUGCGGUGAAUACGUUCCCGGGUCCUU